GAAGCAUUAGCUCAGUUGGUCAGAGCAUGGUGCUAAUAGUGCCAAAGUUGUGGGUUUGAUCCCUGUAUGGGCCA